rnacentral:rRNA from 1 species
GACGUAGGAGGCGAGCGUUGUCCGGAUUCAUUGGGCGUAAAGAGCACGCAGGCGGUUUGGCAAGUCGGAUGUGAAAACCGGAAGCUCAACUUCUGGCCUGCAUCCGAUACUGCCCGACUAGAGGUAGGUAGGGGAGAUCGGAAUUCCUGGUGUAGCGGUGAAAUGCGCAGAUAUCAGGAAGAACACCUAUGGCGAAGGCAGCACUCUGGGACGGUACUGACGCUGAGACGCGAAAGCGUGGGGAGCGAACAGG